AUGAAGCCCAUCACAUUCGAGAACCUCCGCCGCCUAGUCGGCGGCGGUCGUAAGAAGAAGGAGCGCAAUGAGCCGACGUUCAAGCGCUCCGACUCGUUCAAGCGGAUCUCCAUCCGCAAGAACCACCUAGAACGCGGCGGCAAGGGGCGAAACCCGCUGUCCCUGUCGCGAGCCAAGGCCGUCAACGUGGACGAGGAGGAAGCGGACACGAAGAUCGCGGAUCGGCGGACGCCGGAGAUCAAGUCCUCGGCGGCGGAGAUUCUCGGCGCCACGGACUCCCUCGUCAUCGGCUACGGCCAGUGGAUCAAGUGCGUGAAGGCGGAGGAGAACAUGGCCACCUCCGGGAAGCCACCCACGCCGCCGCCCAAGAAGAAACCCGGCACUCCCUCCGUCGACUCCCUGGAGCUCCUGGACCUGGAGCGCUCUCCGGAGAUCGUGCGGCGGCGGUUCCGGCAGUCGAAGCCCCCAGAGGAGGGCCGCGGGGUCUCCAUCAGCCUCGGGCGCAUCUGGAUGGACGCCCCGAUGGCAAUGGCCAUGGCCUCCGCGCCGCGCAGCCUCGAACUACCACGUGUCGCCAACUCCAUCGAGGCCAACCCCAACGGCAACCACCGUGCCCACCACUCCUUGGAGAGUGCCCUCAAGGACAAAAAAGACGAGAAGCCCGCCAGUGGGCGUCGCUACCACCAGUACCCCUCCCGACCCCUUUCGCCCAACACCUUCAUGAUGCCCGUCUGUCGCACCCUCUCGUCGACAACCCCAACUUACUCAACCGGCAAAACAGCAUCAGCUUCUUCCUCCAGAGGAUCGACCGAACUCCUAAGCUCCAGUAAAGACUCAGGUUUCUCAUUCUCCAUCUCCAUCCCACGUCUGUCCGACCUGACGUCUCCGACGAGUUCGUCCGGGGGUUUCUUCCGUCGGAAGAAGGCGCCCAAGAAGGCCGCUGAGCCCAUCGCCAGGGGCGCCGUCUCGACCCGCAGAUUAUCGCAUCGCACCAGUUCGCGGCGGAAAAAGCUCGACAAGUGGACUGCGCGCUCCCGGAAGAAAUCGAGUAACGGCACGGCAAAAAGUGAUAUGUAUCAGGUGGUCGUCGGUCGGACACCUCGCUCGUUAAAGUCCCUCAAGCUGGACCCGAUGAUCUUCGUGCCGCCGGAGAAACGGAAGCCCACCAACUCGAUGAAGCGGUGGCAGAACCGCUUCGAGGUCCACGAGGUGCGCGACUACUGCUCGCCAAGGGACGUGAUGGGCUCCCCAGGGUCGGAGGACGAGGACGAGGGCCUCUACGAGUGCAUCGAGAGGGACUCGGACGUGUCCAAAGCGGACGCCGACGUGGAGGAAGGGACGGAGGGCAGCGAGUCCGGCACGGAACCCGAGGGGGUGGUGCCCCUGAGGCGGGCCCUGAGGGGCGGCGAUGACGAUGACGCCGACACCGAGGACGCCUACUCGCCGUUGGGCGUCUCGCCGGUGCCCCAGAGGCGCCUCAUCCGCCGGAAGAGGUCCGGUCGCAAGAACGGGAAGUACCUGGCCAAGCCCGUCAUCCAUCGGGCCGCCUCCCACGCUCAAAAGGAACCGAAAGCUCAAGAAACAUGUCAACGGUGA
rnacentral:lncRNA from 1 species